GGAAGCGGAGGACAAACUCCCCGGUGAACCAGCUAAUGCACACAUACUCCAGGAUUUCCAGCAGCUGCAGGUCCAGCCAGCUUAACUCAGCUGACAUCAGGGCCAUGUUAAUGAUGGACACCACCACGAAGAUAAUGGAGAUGACGCCAAAGAUACGGGCAGCUGUGGAAGAUCCAGGUUUCUCCAGGAUAUUCCAGAGCUUCUGGCGAACAGUGGGACAAGGUCCUUGGGAGAAGUCCUGUUCACUCUCAUGUU
rnacentral:lncRNA from 1 species